CAGUCGCCGCGGUAAUACGUAGGUGGCAAGCGUUGUCCGGAUUUAUUGGGCGUAAAGCGAGCGCAGGCGGUCAAUUAAGUCUGAUGUGAAAGCCCCCGGCUCAACCGGGGAGGGUCAUUGGAAACUGGUUGACUUGAGUGCAGAAGAGGAGAGUAGAAUUCCACGUGUAGCGGUGAAAUGCGUAGAUAUAUGGAGGAACACCAGUGGCGAAGGCGACUCUCUGGUCUGUAACUGACGCUGAGGCUCGAAAGCGUGGGUAGCAAACAGGAUUAGAUACCCCAGUAGUCCCUGUCUCUUAUAC
rnacentral:rRNA from 1 species